CGGUACACAAUACGUGUGCGGCUUGGUAGUCACUACUCCUUCCACUGCCAGUAAUGGAAGCAGGCGCCGGGGGAGGAGAGCCAAGCACGCCGCGCAGCCGGACCCUGCCGUGUAAGGUGCGGCUCCAGCUCUUCUGCCUCGAAGUGGUCGCUGGCGGUCUCUCGGUGAGUCGCGACGGCACCAUCAACCGCUCCAUCUUCAACCUCUUCGACCUUCGUGCCCGCGCCAGCGCGCGCCCGGAUAGGCAAGGCGUCCGGUCCACCGACAUGGACGUGGACGCGUCGCGCGGCCUGUGGGCGCGCGCGUGUUCUGGCCGUCGACGGAGGCGUCCUCGUCGCCGCUCCCCAUCGUGGUGUACUUCCCCGGCGGCGCCUUCGCGCUGCUCUCCGCGGCCUCGUACGUCUAUGACGCCAUGUGCCGCCGGUUCUGCCGCGAGCUGGGCGCCGUCGUCGUGUCCGUCAACUACCGCCUCGCCCCCGAACACCGCUACCCCGCCGCGUACAAGGACGGCGUCGACGUGCUCCGACACCUCGCCUCCGCGGGCCUCCCCGACGGCGUCGACGACGUCCCGGUGGACCUCUCCCGCGGCUUCCUCGCCGGGGACAGCACCGGCGCCAACAUCGCCCGCCUCGUGGCGCAGCGUUGGACGACGGCCAGUGUCGAGUCAUCAUCCUCCCCGCCGCGUUCUAGCCCCGUCUGCCCUGCCGGCGCCGUUCUGGUGCAGCCGUACUUGGGCGGCGAGGAGCGGACGGAAGCGGAGGUCAGGCUGGACGGGGAAGGUGCCGGUGGUGACCGUCAGGGGCUCGGACUGGAUGUGGCGGCCGUUCCUGCCAGAAGGCGCCGACCGGAACGACCCAGUUGCGCACGUGACUGACGAGAACGCUGACCUGGCGGACGGCUUUCCACCGGUGAUGGUGGUGACUGGUGAUCGGUGGCCUCGACCGCUGCAGGAUUGGUAAAGGCGGUAGGCCGACGUGCUGUGGAGGAAGGGGAAGGCGGUGCGGGUGGUGGAGCUCCCGGACGCCAUUCACACGUUCUUUCUCUUCCCCGAGCUCCACGACUACGGUACGCUCGUGCAAGCGAUGAAGACGUUCAUAGACGGCAGCAACGCAUCUCACUCGGCUGCCUGACUGAUUCAUCAGACUUAUUAGGAAGUGUUGUAAGGCUAUCCUAUUUAUGAUUAAUGUUUUAUGACCCAUAUUAAAUAAUAGAGAUUAAAAGUUUAAUCUCAACCAUAUUAAGGACUGAUUUGGUUGCCAA